CGGGGGCCGCAGCCGCGGGGGCCGAGGGUCCAGUCCAGGCUCCGGCGGCCGCGGGCCAGGCGGCGUCGGGUGCCCGGGCUGCACUCCGCGGCCUCCGGCUAUGCCCCUCGGAGCCAAAACUUGCGAUUCUAGAAAGGCCGAAGGGUCGGCAGCCGGAAGACCGAGUUCUUGAGAAUUCGCAGAGCGCCCUUGGACCGGUUCCCUCCCUGGAGGGUCGGGUCGGGGAGGCUCCCGCACCAGGGUGUUCAGUGGCUACUAAGGGAAUGAAUGAGGCCUUGGAAGCCCCUACAUUAAAAUAUUACAAACUUGCAAGAGGUUUCAGGAGUUUACUGCCCCAUAGAAAAGAGGGCGUUGAGGGUGUGCGAGCUGAGUGGCCUGGGCACGCCCAUAUUUGCCGUCAGGCUAAGUGGCUUCCGGGGCGGGGGUGGGACCCGUGCUUAGACACAUUCCAACGUUGGUUGCUUGGUUCAUUCAUUCAUUCGUUCAUUCAUACAGUACUAGAAAGGUUCAAGGGCAGGCCCUACACCGGGAGCUGGAGGUAGAGGGCAGGAAACUGCCCUCGCUGCAUUCAACGAUUCAGCAGAUCCUUGCUGAGCAUCUGCCAGGUGCCGGAUGCUGUCCUUGUCGCUGAGGAUUCAGCCCCUCUGGACUGAGACCUACAGUCCAAGGAAGGGACGGAGGAGGAAGCCCAAGUCACCAAGGAGAUUAUCCUGAAUUAGCUGGGCAGGCCCAGUGUAAUAACAAGGUCCUUAAAAGUGGACGAGGGAGACAGAAGAGGAAGUCAGAGAAAGAGAUGUGACAAUGGAAGAUGGGCCCGAGACAUGCUGUGUUGCAGCCUUCGAGAUGGAGGAAGGGGCCACAAACAGAGGAAUGCGGGCGGCCUCUAGAAGCUGGAAGAGACAAGGAAACAGAUUCCCCCAGAACCUCCAGAAGGAACUAGUCCUGCUGACACCUCGAUUUUGGCCCGUGAGACCCAUGGUGGACUUCUGACCUACAGAACUGUGACACUGUGUUUCUGACUGCUCCAUAUCAGUCCACAGAGUGUGUCCUCGGUUCACUUUUUACAGCUGCGUAGUGUUCCAGUGUGUCAUGAUCGACGUAAGUGGGUCUCAGCUGAUGGAUGUUUAGGAUGUCCCCACCCCUUUCCUGUGACAAGCAGCAUAGCAAUGUGUCACUUUGUGCAAGUGCUGCUGCACGCAUGUCUGCGGGCGGCUGUGGAAUAAAUCCCUAGGCAUUUGGGAGUCAAAGGACGCACACAGUUGUCGUUUAGUCAGCUCUGUCCGCUCGUCCUUCUCAGGGGAUGUGCCAGGUGCCAGGUACCAAGCCCCCCGCACGGACCACAGGGCCCAUUUCUCCUCAGCCUCACUGGCCCCUGGUUCUUGAACUUUCUGAUCGUCGUCAGUCUGAAAGGUAAACACCGCACGAGGCAGAGGGGCCUCGGCGUAUCUUAGUCUGCAUUUCUCUUCGGACGAGUGAGUUUGGCCAUCUUUUCUAAGUUUCAGGGUCUUUCGUAUUUCCUUUCCCGUGAACUGACUGCAGCGUUACGCUUAGGAAGGUCUCUUUAGAGAGGGGACCCUGGAGGGAGACCUGACUGGAGGCAGGGGCCACUCUGGGGACAGUUGGUUCAGGAGGGAGACAGAACUGGCCCUGAUCUGUGGUGUAAAAGCCGGAGUUGGAGGCAAUGAGGUCACAAGAUUGGAAUUUGGUGACAGAUCUGCCAUGGGGGCCACAGUGGGACAGAAGGGGGGUCAGG